UACGUAGGGCGCAAGCGUUAUCCGGAAUUAUUGGGCGUAAAGAGCUCGUAGGCGGUUUGUCGCGUCUGCUGUGAAAGACCGGGGCUCAACUCCGGUUCUGCAGUGGGUACGGGCAGACUAGAGUGCAGUAGGGGAGACUGGAAUUCCUGGUGUAGCGGUGAAAUGCGCAGAUAUCAGGAGGAACACCGGUGGCGAAGGCGGGUCUCUGGGCCGAUACUGACGCUGAGGAGCGAAAGCGUGGGGAGCAAACAGG
rnacentral:rRNA from 1 species